UGAUAAAAGGGGGAAUUGAGCCCUCAUUAAUAGAUUUACAAUCUACCGCCUAUCAUUCGGCCAUUUUACC
rnacentral:tRNA from 1 species